AGGGUUUGAUCAUGGCUCAGAACGAACGCUGGCGGCAGGCUUAACACAUGCAAGUCGAGCGAGAACGGUUCUUCGGAACUUAUUAGAGCGGCAGACGGGUGCGUAACACGUGGGAAUCUACCUAGUUCUAAGGAAUAGCCAUUGGAAACGAUGAUUAAUACCUUAUAAUCCCUCCGGGGGAAAGAUUUAUCGGAAUUAGAUGAGCCCGCGGUUGAUUAGUUUGUUGGUGGGGUAAUGGCCUACCAAGACUACGAUCAAUAGCUGGUCUGAGAGGAUGAUCAGCCACACUGGAACUGAGACACGGUCCAGACUCCUACGGGAGGCAGCAGUGGGGAAUAUUGCACAAUGGACGAAAGUCUGAUGCAGCCAUGCCGCGUGUGUGAUGACGGCCUUAGGGUUGUAAAGCACUUUAGACAGGGAAGAUAAUGACGGUACCUGUAAAAUAAGCCCCGGCUAACUUCGUGCCAGCAGCCGCGGUAAUACGAAGGGGGCUAGCGUUGUUCGGAAUUACUGGGCGUACAGAGUACGUAGGCGGUUUGCCAAGUCAGAUGUGAAAUCCCGGGGCUCAACCCCGGAACU
rnacentral:rRNA from 1 species